AGGGCCUUAGCUUAAUAAAAGCACCUGAUUUGCAGUCAGGAGAUGUGGGUUAAUAUCUUGCAGGUCCUA
rnacentral:tRNA from 2 species